GGCCCGGUAGCGGAUGGUCCGCGUUUGCACCCGAUAUUGCCUUUGUAGAGCCAUCUGCAGAAGCCGCCCGUUCGAUUCGGGCCCGGGCCA